AUAGAAGAAGGCCCUGAAGGAGGCCUCAGCCUUGUCAAGGUGAAGGAAAUGAAAGUCUCUGCAGCUUGUCUCCUGGCCGUUUUGUGAAAUAACUGCUUCCAAUAUAAGAGCUCUCUUGCAAUUGGGGACACGAGCUUGCAACAAGAUCAAUUAGAGAGCAGGAAACAAGCACUCCAAAAAGUGAGGAAGUCAUGAAGGCUGAGACAACGUUCCUUCAAGGGAUGUUUCCUUCCUUUGAAGAUAUGAAAGAGAAGGGCAAAGAGGGACUCCUGAAGCCACUGAAGGAAGGAAAUCAUUACAGAGAUCUACAGAAGUAGGUCAUGUGCUACAGCUGCUCAUAGUUUGAGAGGAAGAAACAUGGGACCUCAGACAUGGAACAUGACUCCUUCAGAAUG